rnacentral:rRNA from 1 species
UACGAGGGGUGCAAGCGUUGCUCGGAAUUAUUGGGCGUAAAGGGUAGGUAGGUGGUCUCAUUUGUCUGGGGUGAAAGCCUUGAGCUUAACUCAAGAAGUGCCCCAGAAACGGUGAGACUGGAGUCCUGGAGAGGGUCGUGGAAUUCCCGGUGUAGCGGUGAAAUGCGUAGAGAUCGGGAGGAACACCUGAGGCGAAAGCGGCGACCUGGACAGGCACUGACACUCAACUACGAAAGCGUGGGGAGCAAACAGG